rnacentral:lncRNA from 1 species
AAUGAGUUGAUGCAUGUAAAGUGCUUAGAGCUGUGCUGGCCCAGUACAAUAUUAACAGGAAUGGCCUGUAAUAUUGAUCAUGCCUCAAGAUGUGGGGGAAUCAUUCCUUCCUCAGGGUGUUUGUUGGACACAGAUGAACACAAGUGUUCUUCCACACCUGCAAAAGUGGGUGGCUUUCUGACGUGCCAACCCUCUGGCCAGGGAGUAUUUAUAUGCAGAGGUAGCUUUGGGUGCUGCAAGGAAAGGCCCGUGCCUAAUGCUGCAGAUUUUGAUACUAGGGAAAUGCCCAUUUUUGCAGCUCCUGGCCUCUUCUGGUGAAGAAAUAUCCACAUGUCAGCUGGGAUUGCUGCAUCAUCAGAGAUCCUUCUAGAAGCUGCCGAGGAGCUUGGGGAAGUUGUUGGUGUUGUCAGCAAAGAGCUUCCACAUGAACAGGGAAGGUCAUAGCGCAACCUUCAAACAGGUCAUGAAGGAUGUCAGCUUGAGUGACUUAGAAAGUUGUGCUCCUAAGAAUUCAAAGAAAGUGCCUAGAGGUGGAUGUGGGACUAAAUGUGGACCGUCAGACGCAUCUGGGGAAGAACUGAGAGCAGCAGCUGCAGAAGGCGGGUCCGCACAGUGUGAGAGACACUGCCUCCUCAGGCCUGCCCUUGUUCUUCUUGCAGCCUGGUCCUCAGAUGCCCUUAAUUUUCGCCUUUCCAUUCCUGUUUUGAAGAUCUCCAUCACACCUGUGAGCAUCCUGUAACAGAUUUCCUCUGUGGUUCUGAAACCACAACUAUAUUUGCUUUAUAAAGCAGUUUCAACCCAUACUCAUUUUGACAGUGGACGAAGAACAAGUUUUUGCCUUGAAGCUUUGCAAUUAUUCAUCAUUUAAUUGGAACUGGAAGAUUUAGAUACUUAUGUCUUAGAUAAUACUUUCAAUUUCUGUCUUCCAAAUUUGUUAAUUAAAUAAAAACUUUCUUCCGGUGACA